UUGAACGCUGGCGGCAUGCCUUACACAUGCAAGUCGAACGGUAGAGGGGCAACCCUUGAGAGUGGCGAACGGGUGAGUAAUAUAUCGGAACGUGCCCAGUCGUGGGGGAUAACGCAGCGAAAGCUGCGCUAAUACCGCAUACGAUCUAUGGAUGAAAGCGGGGGAUCGCAAGACCUCGCGCGAUUGGAGCGGCCGAUAUCAGAUUAGGUAGUUGGUGGGGUAAAAGCCCACCAAGCCGACGAUCU
rnacentral:rRNA from 1 species